AUGCCCGAGACAACCAUCAGGAUCGUAAACGUGCAACAGCUUUAUACCAGGUGAAUGUGUGAGCAAACAGAUCAGAGGUUCUACCUGCCAGGUGGCUCUCCAGGUGUGUCCUGUGAUUCCCCACGCUCGCCUGCAGGCUGCACUGUUGCCGUGGUUAUCUCCCAGGCUACCACAGCAGGCAAUUCAAACAGGUUGUGUCAACACUGCAGGUAGACACUGAAUCCGCACCAGCCAAGGCUGAAAACGGUUGCAGCCGCGAGAACUGUGGACUCUGAGAAGCAAGGAAAGGAGCCCACUCAGAGCUCCAAGAGUGCGCAUGCGUGGAGGACCACCUACUGAAGCAUGGCUAUCUUUCACGGACACAUUCCUGAAGAAAACAGAUGCUGGUGCCAGGCCAAGGAAAGGACCAGGAACGAGGUUCUCCACACAUCCUCCAUCCGUGCGUUCCAGGGCUCGUGGGUUUGCUUCAGCCAAAACCUCGAACGAGCCACAUCCUUGUGUUCUUGACUCUGAUGAGGUCUUUUAUUGCAUUUAUAAAUGUUCCCCCUGGGGCUAUUACUCAAAAGGGUUCAUCUAAUGAAUAAGACAACUAAC
ensembl:lincRNA 1700018A04Rik RIKEN cDNA 1700018A04 gene